GAGAGAUCCGAGCUCCCGGGGGAAACGGGGAGACACCGGAAUUCCCAAGGAAAGCUGAGCAGUUUCUGCAGCAGGGAAUGGAGGGGAAUGUCAAGCUGAAAGAACCUCCUGCUGAAACUGCCUCACAGACUAACCCGAAGUAAGGAAUCACACGUUCUGAACGGCUGGAAGCAAAAGGCUCUUGGGAAAAUCGGGGGCUACACAGCAUUAUUAACUGUAAAUCACUACUCCGCUAGCCAUUAUUCUAUUGGAUUUUGACUCUUCGCUCCCAGAAUUCUCCUCUCCUUAAGCCGCUAUCCUCCUCCCUAACUAGUGGGUAGUAAAUCACUCCCUUGAGUUCCCGUGUGUCCUGUGCACAGCGGGGCCCACAGGGGUCUCUGUCUCCUUGUUGGGGUGGUGGCUGCGCCACCAGUCUGUGACCUCCGGGACAGCAGGGGGCGCCCCUUGCUCCUGCUUUCCACUGACUUAACACCUUUUAAGAAUCCUUGUUUCAAGUAUAUAGUUCUGGCCCAUAACAAUUACUGCUUAUUAAACCCAAAAUAGAAUAUGCCACAUUAA